AGGAGCAUAGCGCCCACUUCAUAAUUUCACAUGUUGAAUUCAAGGAAAUUUGCAGGUGAAAAUAUUCACUACUUUAAGACAUUAUUUAUGGUGAAAGGGGUUAAAUUGAAAAUGGUUUUCCUUGGUGUUCUGGUGUCAUUUUGAAAAAUUAUCUUUAUAACUUUUAUGCCUCCAUCUCACUUUGAAUUUAUUAAUAUUUGAGAUGUUUCUGGAGCUAUUGUAUGCUUUCGUUUUGUCUUACAUGUCAUCUUCAUCGGUAAAUGCUGAGCCAUCCCAUUGAGUAAAACGAUAGCUCGAGUGUGUUUGGAUUUGAGGAGAUAUAGGUUCCAUGUAUCUUACUCUGGGAAGAAAAGUUAUUUUUCUCCUUUUCGUAUACCGUCAGACAUAAAUUUGCAAGUUUUCCUAUGGAAUAAUUUAUGCUUCAAUUUUCCCCGGAAGCGUGACACCAUUGGGCUACAGCAUCGACAUGGAAUGGGCAAACCCCCAAGGAUGCAUGAGGAUGACGACAUAAAUUGCGAUAAGACGGAUAUGAAAGGGAAGAAUACUGCAUGGCAGGAAAGGAAGGAAAAGAAAAAAAAGGAAAACAACACAAAGUGGGAGAACAAGUGGAUGGGCAGGAAAAAAAUGAAGGGAAAUAAAUGAUUUCACGAGACGUCAGCACUUUUAGCAACAUUCUUGACUUGGGGUUGUUACCAAAAAAUUUCCUCUUGAAUUGAUAACACUCGCCCUCAACGGAAACAAACAAGAACAUUUCUUGGAAAAUGCCAGACUUUCAAAGAUGAAGGCACCCAAUUACUCAAUUUAACUCCAUUAAAAUUUCAACAGUCGAAUAAUUUAGCCCCAAUCUCAGGGAUGAGCGUCAUCAAGUGCUUGUGUGAAAGCCCUUUAAAACCCCACUCGCAUACCAAUAAAUUUGUUAAUUAAUUUAUGCACUAAGUUAGUCGAGAUUACAUUGAAAAUGUCGGAA